UACGUAGGCAGCAAGCGUUGUUCGGAGUUACUGGGCGUAAAGAGUGCGUAGGUGGUGCCCUAAGUCUGUUGUGAAAUCUCCCGGCUUAACUGGGAGGGUGCGGUGGAAACUGGGGUGCUUGAGUGUGGGAGAGGUAAGCGGAAUUCCUGGUGUAGCGGUGAAAUGCGUAGAUAUCUGGAGGAACACCGGUGGCGAAGGCGGCGUCCUGGACCAACACUGACACUGAUGAGCGAAAGCCAGGGGAGCAAACGGG
rnacentral:rRNA from 1 species